rfam:Anopheles minimus strain MINIMTS1 unplaced genomic scaffold supercont1.1, whole genome shotgun sequence.
GACCCGAAAGAUGGUGAACUAUGCCUGAUCAGAUCGAAGUCAGGGGAAGCCCUGAUGGAGUACCGAAGCAUUUCUUACGUGCAAAUCGAUUUUCAGAGUUAGGAAUAGGGAUGAAAGACCAAUAUAAUAGACGG